GACGAACGCUGGCGGCGUGCUUAACACAUGCAAGUCGAACGGUGAAGCGCCUUCCUUUUUGGUGGGUGUGGAUGAGUGGCGAACGGGUGAGUAACACGUGAGUAACCUGCCCCCUUCUUCUGGAUAACCGCAUGAAAGUGUGGCUAAUACGGGAUAUUCUGGGUCUGUCGCAUGAUGGGUCUGGGAAAGAUAUUGUUUCGGUGGGGGAUGGGCUCGCGGCCUAUCAGCUUGUUGGUGGGGUGAUGGCCUACCAAGGCGGUGACGGGUAGCCGGCCUGAGAGGGUGGACGGUCACACUGGGACUGAGACACGGCCCAGACUCCUACGGGAGGCAGCAGUGGGGAAUAUUGCACAAUGGGCGCAAGCCUGAUGCAGCGACGCCGCGUGAGGGAUGGAGGCCUUCGGGUUGUGAACCUCUUUCGCCAGUGAAGCAGGCCUGCCUCGUUUGUGGGUGGGUUGACGGUAGCUGGAUAAGAAGCGCCGGCUAACUACGUUC
rnacentral:rRNA from 1 species